rnacentral:tRNA from 1 species
GCCCAGGUGGCGAAAUUGGUAGACGCGCUAGGUUCAGGUCCUACGCUAGGUUCAGGUCCUAGUGGUGGCAACACCGUGGAGGUUCGAUUCCUCUCUUGGGCA